rnacentral:rRNA from 1 species
UACAGAGGUGGCAAGCGUUGUUCGGAAUUACUGGGCGUAAAGGGCGCGUAGGCGGCUUGGUCAGUCCCGUGUGAAAUCCCUCGGCUCAACUGAGGAACUGCACGGGAAACUGCCUGGCUUGAGUUCGGGAGAGGGAAGCGGAAUUCCGGGUGUAGCGGUGAAAUGCGUAGAUAUCUGGAGGAAUACCGGUGGCGAAGGCGGCUAUCUGGCUAUGUACUGACGCUGAGAUACGAAAGCGUGGGGAGCAAACAGG